UUAGAAGCAGCCAUCAUUUAAAGAAAGCGUAAUAGCUCACUGGUCGAGUCGGCCUGCGCGGAAGAUGUAACGGGGCUAAACCAUGCACCGAAGCUGCGGCAGCGAACGUAUCACCCAAGACAACUUUACGGAGUUGACGAUUGACGGAGCGAAGCGACGUCAAAGCGUUCAUUAAAGUCGAGUUGGCUUAGGGAUACGUUCGUUGGGUAGGGGAGCGUUCUGUAAGCCUGUGAAGGUGGCCUGUGAGGGUUGCUG
rnacentral:rRNA from 1 species